CCGAGUUAUACAACUCAUCAACCCUGUGAACAUACCUAUAACGUUGCCUCGGCGGGAACAGACGGCCCCGUAACACGGGCCGCCCCCGCCAGAGGACCCCCCUAACUCUGUUUCUAUAAUGUUUCUUCUGAGUAAACAAGCAAAUAAAUUAA
rnacentral:misc_RNA from 1 species